AUGAAACACACCUUUCAUUUACAUUUACCUCAUCCAAAUUGUAAACAUCCACAGAAAUAAAUGAACCAUAAUCGAAUUCGAAACCCUAAAUUCCCUAAAUCGAAACCCUGAGCUCAAAAUCAAAGUUCGUUCCCGUCGUUGCUCACUACUCAAACAGCCUACCCAAGCAUAGAGAAAUAGCUCCCAUUCCAUUGUUGUAAUUUUUGCAAUGGACGGACAACAUGAAGGUAAAUCUCGAACUCAUGGGUUUUAAAAAUAUGACACACAUGCAUUUUAAAAUAUUGGGCUUUCUAGUUGCCAUUCAUUUGACACUUAUGGGUUUUGUAGUUGCUAUUCUCAUAUUUAAAAAUUUUGAAGUUGCUAUUAAUCUGACACUUAUUGGUUUUAAAAAUCUGAAAAAUAUUUAUUUACAUGGUUUCUUGUGGGAAUUGUAAUUGUACUCUUACAUUAAUUCACAGAAUCCUGUGUAUCAUAUGAAUGACCUUCAUAGUAUGAUUUAAUUGUUCAACUAGAUUGAUAUGGUUUGAUUCUGCUUGAGUUCUCCACUUUGAUAUGGGGUUGAGUAGGUUUGAAUCAUUUGAUAGUUAAUUAAUUUCCAACAUCUAUACUAUAGUAGCAAAUGCAAUUUUUUUUCAUUUUUUUUUUUGGCCACAAUUCGUUGUUCCCUAUUUGAUGGUUUGCAUGUAUUCCUCGUUAAUGUGGUUUAAUUGUAUUACAGAUUGUGAGGAAGAUCCGGACUUCGUUGACUCCGAUAAUGACUUUGGGUCCAAAGAAGACGACAUCAAAUAUAAUAGAAAUGUAACUGAUGGGAUUGAAAUUGGAUUGAGGGUCGUAAAUAUGAAGCUCAAGAAGAAUGAGAAGAGGGCAAGGUCAAUGAGUUGGAUGAAUUGGAACGGGGUAAUUUUUAGUUUGGCUUAGUCAAAAUAGCAAUUUUUCACUUUAACCAAAAAAUAUUUGUCUAUAACCAAAAUGACCUUUUCUUGAAUAAAAGACAAAAAUGCCCUUAAAUAGUUUAUACAAUUACAAAAAUAGAAUUUUGUUUCAAAAGACAAAAAUACCCUUAAGUUACAAAUUAAAAAAUCAAACACUUUUCACUUUAUAUUUAAUUAUUUAUUUUAAACAAUUACCCAAAUUAAAAAAAUUAAUAUUAAAUUUAAUUUCUUGUUUAAAUAUUUCAUUAAUUAAUUAUCUUAAU
rnacentral:lncRNA from 1 species